GGCAUGGUGGCUUAGCACUGUUGCCUCACACUUCCGGGGUUGGGGGUUUGAAUCUCGCCUCCACCCUUUGUAGGAUAAGCAGUAUGGAAAAUAAAUGAAUGAAAUCCUGAACGAGAUGUCCUGUAUAACUAUCUGGAAAGCUUUCUAUCUUCUAUCUAAUUUGACUUAGUAAAAAAGCUAACUAUCUUUCACAACAACAAUGACUUUCCCAAAUCAAAAACCUGUUAUUUACCGUUGACAACAACAGCCACCUAAUAAUAUUUGAUCAGAUUUACUUUGACUUUUGUGUUUGUUAAAUUCCAGAAAGGUCAGAAAAGUUCACUGGACACACUGUCAGAAUCUGUUAUAAAGCUGGACAUGGCACCGGCUCCAUGAGGACAGAUAACAUCAGAGAAAUUGGUUUAUUGACCUCACUGUAAAGUACCACUAGUACUGGCAUGUUAUUAACUGGUAGUGUACAGUUAUAUAAUUCUUUAUUUUCUGUAAUAAAAUGCACUAUAUCUGCAGUGUUGGUUGUAGAAACUUGAACACAGAUCAGAGUGUAGUGUUUGUAGGCUGCUCGCUCUCACAUGUGUGUGUUACGUACAUGACCUAAUGGUCUUCUAAUAAAUUGUAGCUGAGAGAUUGUGGAGUGCAGAAAGACGUCCCUGCUCCUGUAAAUGUGCUGAUGUGGUGUCCUGUCCUCUGAUUUGUGUGUGUGAGAGAAACACACUGACAUUUCUGUUCCAUGUUAAACUUUAGCUGUAUUAUGGCUGUGUUUGUGUGUUUGAGAUCAGUGUUCUGAUAUUUCAUCAUUUCUCUUCCAGUCUGUGUGAGUGUAAUCUGACAGAGGAAAGCUGUAGAGUUCUGUCCUCAGUUCUCAGCUCAAACUCCUCCAGUCUGAGAGAACUGGACCUGAGUUACAAUAAACUGCAGGAUUCAGGAGUGAAGCUGCUCUCUGCUGGACUGGAGAAUCCACACUGUACACUGGAGAUACUGAGGAUGCGUUACUGCAGUAUUACAGAUGAAGGUUGUGCUGCUCUGGCUUCAGCUUUGAGGUCAAACUCCUCAUCACACCUGAGAGAUCUGAAUCUGAACAGUAAUAAUCCAGGAGAAUCAGGAGUGAAGCUGCUCUCUGAUAUACUGAAGGAUCCACACUGUAAACUGAAGAAACUACACAUUAAGGAUUAUUAACUCACCAAGACUGGCUACGACAGGAGUCUCACCUCAAAGCUUUUUUCCAGGAUAAAGCAGUUUUGGUGAAGCGUUAGAACCCGUCCCACAUUUCCAGCAGUUUGGGAGCUGAAUCAUUCAUAUUCACAUGUAGACGUUCCAUCACAUCCUUUUAUCCACUCAGCUACAAGUUACUUCAGGCUUUAAUAACAUAUUUUACAAUCCAAAGUCAAAUCCUUCAGCGUCUACACACAACACAGAGAUAUCAUCACAUCAUCACACUGAUUAUACAAAUACACAUCCAUGUGUUGUAGCUGUAAAACCAAUGGAGAAAGAUUGUUAAACCUGCACGGAUCUAAUCAUCAAGGUUGGAUGCUGAGUUCAUUCAUUCAAGGACACCUGGGAAAAGCCACAAUGUGUUGUUCAACUUUGAGAUGCUACUGGUAGGACAAAGACUCUAGAUUUUUCUAGUAAUUAAAGACUGUUUAUGAGAACGCUAUGUUGACUUGCAAGGUGUUUGUAUUGUAAGCGGUUUAGCAUCUAAUGUGCUAAUUAGCCAUGUGCAGUAACAGUAACAUUUUAUUUAGCAGUGCUUUUGAAUUGCUAUGUUUAUAUGUUCUUUGAUAAGUGACUUGUGAGUAUACUAGCAAGUUUGUAGUUAAUAUCCUUAAAUGUACUUGAUUAUUUCACUACUAUGUAUUGCCUUUGCUCA